GAUGAACGCUGGCGGCGUGCCUAAUACAUGCCAGUCGAGCGAACAGAUGAGGAGCUUGCUCCUCUGACGUUAGCGGCGGACGGGUGAGUAACACGUGGAUAACCUACCUUUAAGACUGGGAUAACUUCGGGAAACCGGAGCUAAUACCGGAUAAUAUAUUGAACCGCAUGGUUCAAUAGUGAAAGACGGUUUUGCUGUCACUUAUAGAUGGAUCCGCGCCGCAUUAGCUAGUUGGUAAGGUAACGGCUUACCAAGGCAACGAUGCGUAGCCGACCUGAGAGGGUGAUCGGCCACACUGGAACUGAGACACGGUCCAGACUCCUACGGGAGGCAGCAGUAGGGAAUCUUCCGCAAUGGGCGAAAGCCUGACGGAGCAACGCCGCGUGAGUGAUGAAGGUCUUCGGAUCGUAAAACUCUGUUAUUAGGGAAGAACAAAUGUGUAAGUAACUAUGCACGUCUUGACGGUACCUAAUCAGAAAGCCACGGCUAACUACGUG
rnacentral:rRNA from 1 species